rnacentral:rRNA from 1 species
GAUAAACGCUGGCGGCGUGCUUAACACAUGCAAGUCGAACGAAGUUUUUCCUUCGGGAGCAACUUAGUGGCGGACGGGUGAGUAACGCGUGGGUAACCUGCCCUGUACAGGGGGACAACAGCUGGAAACGGCUGCUAAUACCGCAUAAGCCCUUAGCACUGCAUGGUGCAUAGGGAAAAGGAGCAAUCCGGUACAGGAUGGACCCGCGUCUGAUUAGCCAGUUGGCAGGGUAACGGCCUACCAAAGCGACGAUCAGUAGCCGAUCUGAGAGGAUGUACGGCCACAUUGGGACUGAGACACGGCCCAGACUCCUACGGGAGGCAGCAGUGGGGAAUAUUGCACAAUGGAGGAAACUCUGAUGCAGCGACGCCGCGUGAGUGAAGAAGUAUUUCGGUAUGUAAAGCUCUAUCAGCAGGGAAGAAAAUGACGGUACCUGACUAAGAAGCACCGGCUAAAUACGUG